rnacentral:rRNA from 1 species
GCGGAAUAUUGGACAAUGGGUGGAAGCCUGAUCCAGCCAUCCCGCGUGAAGGACGACGGCCCUAUGGGUUGUAAACUUCUUUUGUACAGGGAUAAACCUCCCCUCGUGAGGGGAGCUGAAGGUACUGUACGAAUAAGCACCGGCUAACUCCGUGCCAGCAGCCGCGGUAAUACGGAGGGUGCAAGCGUUAUCCGGAUUUAUUGGGUUUAAAGGGUCCGUAGGCGGGCCCGUAAGUCAGUGGUGAAAUCUCGCAGCUUAACUGCGAAACUGCCAUUGAUACUGCGGGUCUUGAGUGAAUUUGAAGUGGCUGGAAUAAGUAGUGUAGCGGUGAAAUGCAUAGAUAUUACUUAGAACACCGAUUGCGAAGGCAGGUCACUAAGAUUCAACUGACGCUGAGGGACGAAAGCGUGGGGAGCGAAC